GCUCAACGAGAUUCAGGUCGCGCUAAGACAUCAACGAUCAGUGCCGACAAGCCUCCACUAUCUAUUGCAGAAAUGAAGAACCGUGUUGAUUGCUUAUCUUGAAUAUGAUUUUGGGCAAAUAGGACCUGACUAGCUUCUAAAUCUGCUGAACUGUACUGAUCAUAGUGUGAAACUAAUUUUGCUUUUGCUCUUCUAAAGGCCAUCUCACGUUGAUUCAUAAUUUGCCAGAGGAGAUGGCUCAGUUGGAAGUUAUGUUCAGUUUCUUGAUCCUUAUGCUAAUUCUCUGUCCAUUUGUAAGACAGCUGGUGAUGUUCAGAAUAAUAAGGGAAGUGCCUUGCACCUGAAUGUCAAAUGAAAAAGUAGAGCUGAAGGUUGUGAUCUGUAUCCUUGCCAUGGUUGCUCCUUGCUGAUACAGGCUUUUAUAUUUGAAUGCUCGCUACUCUCGCACAUAUAUAGAUUUUUCAUUAUAGAUGCAAAUUUGGAGCCGCUUAAAUUUGCUUGCCUGUCGUUUUACUUAGCAAUCUGCAAGAAAAAGAAGGACACCAUAGAUUGCUUGGCAAUAAAGAUCGACAUAUAGCAAUUUGUGUGUAGCCUUAGAAGUCUAUAUAUUUAUUAAAUUCUGAAUUACUUGUGCUCGCGUCCUUAAUGUGAUGGUUGCUUUGCCUUAUGAUCAAAUUCUCAAUUGGUAAUGGUGACUACAUUAGACUGUUUAAGCAACUAAGCAACUCAAGUCCCCUCGUGACUACAAGUCAUGAGUGGCCGCUGCACUAUUCUUGUAUGUUCUUCUAUUUUCAAUGGAAGCAUUCAAUCAUAUUUGUUUUUUUCUCUCACAUCAGUUUAUAUACCUCUCCAUGGAUCAUUCAGGUGUAAAAAUAUGGAUUUUCACUUUCGACCUGCAGUAUUUGACGGUCUCUGUGUGGAGGGUUUCAGAACUUUCUCUAGGCGCAGACCUGAAUACUAGCAGUACACGCUUGCAGCUAGCAAAAAAUGCAAGAUGCAGGGUCGUGUUUUCUUUUUCCAAUGCAUGGUAUCUGUUCAGGUGGAUGACUGCUAAUUUAUGUGGGAUAGGAAUGUCUUCAUAUUUGUGGUGGGUACAAGUAAUAUUAAAUUGAAAUUUGAGGCCCCCUUUUCAUUACAACCAGUGGCAAAAUUUAGGUUUUGGUGAGAAGAAAGGUGAACCUAAUGGCUACAGCACUAUCAAGAAGAAUGUUUUAAUCACUGGAGAAAUUGAGGAACAAAUGAAGUUGAUAGAAGAACGAGCAAUAAAUAUCUAUUAAACACAUAUAUAGAUUGCUUGGCUAUAAAGAUCGACAUAAAUUAGUAUUACUUGUUUUGGGCAUAGCUGAACGUACAAGCUUAAUACUACUGAAAUUCUAAAAUCGAUCAGAAGUAAUGUUUGGUUUUGUUCAUAGGUCGUCCCCUGUUUUGUCAUUCCAACUAACUGAAAGAGAUUGUAAUUGGGUCAACAAAUGGCAUACAUUUUUUUAAGCUGACAAACCUAUUUUGUUGAAAAUCUGAACUUUGUAGUUCAGUAGCUAUUGUGUAGGUGUAUUUCAAUCUUAUGGCUUUUUUUGCUUGAGAUUCGUAUACUGUAUGAUGUUGAGUUUGUUCACAUUAACCUAUGUUCCUAUUUUGCUGAGUUAUCCACUGAAAUAUGCUUAAUUUCUUCUUAAUUCCCCGUGUUUACUACCACAGUACCACUAUAUUUGAUAUGUUUUUAUUUAGUUCCAUUUAAUAUUGAUUCAGCUAUAUUAUGGGUGGCUUUGGCAUUUUCCCCUUACAAUCGUGUGUCCGACGAAUUAUGGGGAGUGCCUCUUUCACACUAAUGUUCAUUGCAAACUAAUCAUGAAAUUCAAUUACUUCAGGUCUUUACUUUCAACAUGAUCUACCUCCAAUUUUUUGCUCCUCUUGUUUCAUCACAAAGCAAUGAAGUUUAGUACUCCCUCUGUUCACUUUUAUAAGACGCUGUAGACAUUUCAGACAGUGCCUAAAAC
rnacentral:rRNA from 1 species